UACGUAGGUGACCAGCGUUGUCCGGAUUUACUGGGCGUAAAGGGCGCGUAGGCGGCGCGACAAGUCACUUGUGAAAUCUCUGGGCUCAACCCAGAACGGUCAAGUGAUACUGUCGUGCUAGAGUGCGGAAGGGGCAACUGGAAUUCUUGGUGUAGCGGUGAAAUGCGUAGAUAUCAAGAGGAACACCUGCGGCGAAGGCGGGUUGCUGGGCCGACACUGACGCUGAGGCGCGAAAGCGUGGGGAGCAAACAGG
rnacentral:rRNA from 1 species